rnacentral:misc_RNA from 1 species
GAUGAAGAACGCAGCAAAAUGCGAUAAGUAGUGUGAAUUGCAGAAUUCAGUGAAUCAUCGAAUCUUUGAACGCACAUUGCGCCCUUUGGUAUUCCUUAGGGCAUGCCUGUUCGAGCGUCAUUUUCACCUUCAAGCACAGCUUGGUGUUGGGCGUCUGUCCUUAGGGACUCGCCUCAAAAGGAUUGGCAGCCACUCCAGCGGCUUUGAGCGCAGCAGAUUUGCGUCCUGUAGCAGUGGGAGAUGGCAUCCAUAAGCUUACUUUUUAUUUUGACCUCGGAUCAGGUAGGGAUACCCGCUGAACUUAAGCAUAUCAAUAAGCGGAGGA